GAGGUGGGCCCUGAUCUAGUACAACUGUUGUUCUCAUAAAAAGAGGAAAUUUGGAAACACAUAUAUACACAUAGAGAACACCAUGUGAUGAGGAUGGCAGAGAUAUGAAUAAAGCACCUACAAGCCACAGAAUGCCACCAGUUGCCAGCAAGCCACCAGAAGCAGGGCAAAGGUAAAGAAACAUUCUCUCAUACAACGCACAGAAGGACUCAACCCUGUCAAAACCUUGAUCUUCAAUUUCAACUCUCCAGAAAUGGGCAAAGACAGGAUGCGUGUUCCCUUCGCAAGAGAACACACUGAGCACUGGACCUGGCCCGCAGGAAGCCCUUGGAAGGGGUGAGCUGUUUGUAUUCCACCUUGGGGUCUCCAGCAGCCUUUCUGAUACCCAGGAGCAGCUUUCACGCAUGGCAUCUGAUAGCAGGUGAUAUUGCCGCAGUCCAUGAGGUCAGGAGGCCCUUCUCCACCAUCUCUUCCUUGCAGCAGCUCUACCUGCAUUCCAGUCAGUCACUGCCACCCCAGAGCCAAAACCUAUCCCAGACUUGCAGGGGAGGAGUAAACAAGCCCAUUGGCCCAAACUUUAGGAGGAGAUGUGCAAUUUAAUGAACUCGGUUCACAUUGUGGGGCUAUGAUUCCUCUUACCUUUAACGUGAACUCACAGGCAGAUUAAAUUGAAAUAAAAACUACCAUUUGAGUUACAUUCUCAGCUGAUUGGAAACAUGCAUUACCUCCCUGUGACCA
ensembl:lncRNA